rnacentral:rRNA from 1 species
UACGAGGGGGGGCGAGCGUUGUUCGGAAUUACUGGGCGUAAAGCGUGCGCAGGCGGUGAUGUAAGACAGGUGUGAAAUCCCCGGGCUUAACCUGGGAACUGCAUUUGUGACUGCAUCGCUGGAGUGCGGCAGAGGGGGAUGGAAUUCCGCGUGUAGCAGUGAAAUGCGUAGAUAUGCGGAGGAACACCGAUGGCGAAGGCAAUCCCCUGGGCCUGCACUGACGCUCAUGCACGAAAGCGUGGGGAGCAAACAGG